rnacentral:lncRNA from 1 species
GUACAAUAUAAUAAACAUUUUAGCAUAAGUAUAAUACAGGACGGCACAAUUUAUAGUCCAAUAUUUACACAUGUUUUGGCGAAGGGGGGAUUGGGGGGCAAGUGUUUUUAAAUUGUGCAGUAUUUAUCCAUCCUAAUAAGAGUCUGGUAGCAGCUGUUGUGAUGUGUGUGUGGAUUCACAGACACAGCGAUCAGCUUGUUGGGGGUGAACUGGAAGCACACUGCUCUAGCGAUGGGACAGAGGAGACGGCUUCGUCCUCAGCCCUAUACUACACAUCAGGUUUUACGGAGUCAGUGAGGCCGGUGGUUCCUGGUCCCCUAGCUGAUGCUGUCCCCCACGGCAUACCUCCACCCCCC